rnacentral:rRNA from 1 species
GAUGAACGCUGGCGGCGUGCCUAAUACAUGCAAGUCGAGCGAAUGGAUUAAGAGCUUGCUCUUAUGAAGUUAGCGGCGGACGGGUGAGUAACACGUGGGUAACCUGCCCAUAAGACUGGGAUAACUCCGGGAAACCGGGGCUAAUACCGGAUAACAUUUUGAACCGCAUGGUUCGAAAUUGAAAGGCGGCUUCGGCUGUCACUUAUGGAUGGACCCGCGUCGCAUUAGCUAGUUGGUGAGGUAACGGCUCACCAAGGCAACGAUGCGUAGCCGACCUGGUAGGGUGAGCGGCCACACGGGGACGGAGACACGGCCAAGACUCCUACGGGAGGCAGCAGUAGGGAAUCUUCCGCAAUGGACGAAAGUCUGACGGAGCAACGCCGCGUGAGUGAUGAAGGCUUUCGGGUCGUAAAACUCUGUUGUUAGGGAAGAACAAGUGCUAGUUGAAUAAGCUGGCACCUUGACGGUACCUAACCAGAACGCCACGGCUAACUACGUGCCAGCCGCCGCGGUAA